UACAGAGGUCUCAACCGUUGUUCGGAUUCAUUGGGCGUAAAGGGUGCGUAGGCGGUCGUGCAAGUCGGAUGUGAAAUCUCAGGGCUCAACCCUGAAACUGCAUUCGAUACUGCAUGGCUAGAGUGCUGGAGAGGAGACUGGAAUUUACGGUGUAGCAGUGAAAUGCGUAGAUAUCGUAAGGAAGACCAGUGGCGAAGGCGAGUCUCUGGACAGCAACUGACGCUGAGGCACGAAGGCCAGGGGAGCAAACGGG
rnacentral:rRNA from 1 species